AACACAUGCAAGUCGAACGGUAACAGGAAGCAGCUUGCUGCUUUGCUGACGAGUGGCGGACGGGUGAGUAAUGUCUGGGAAACUGCCUGAUGGAGGGGGAUAACUACUGGAAACGGUAGCUAAUACCGCAUAACGUCGCAAGACCAAAGAGGGGGACCUUCGGGCCUCUUGCCAUCGGAUGUGCCCAGAUGGGAUUAGCUAGUAGGUGGGGUAACGGCUCACCUAGGCGACGAUCCCUAGCUGGUCUGAGAGGAUGACCAGCCACACUGGAACUGAGACACGGUCCAGACUCCUACGGGAGGCAGCAGUGGGGAAUAUUGCACAAUGGGCGCAAGCCUGAUGCAGCCCUGCCGCGUGUAUGAAGAAGGCCUUCGGGUUGUAAAGUACUUUCAGCGGGGAGGAAGGGAGUAAAGUUAAUACCUUUGCUCAUUGACGUUACCCGCAGAAGAAGCACCGGCUAACUCCGUGCCAGCAGCCGCGGUAAUACGGAGGGUGCAAGCGUUAAUCGGAAUUACUGGGCGUAAAGCGCACGCAGGCGGUUUGUUAAGUCAGAUGUGAAAUCCCCGGGCUCAACCUGGGAACUGCAUCUGAUACUGGCAAGCUUGAAGUCUCGUAGAGGGGGGUAGAAUUCAGGUGUAGCGGUGAAAUGCGUAGAGAUCUGGAGGAAUACCGGUGG
rnacentral:rRNA from 1 species